UUAAGACUCUGGGUGUACUUUAUGGACAAGAGCACAGCAAUGAUGUGCAGAGCAUAACAAGCACCCUGGGAGGCCUAUGGGUCAUAACAACCAAUUGGCCAAUCAACACAGGGCAAGCCCUCCAAGCCUGGAGGCACACCAAUCCUGAGCCUGUGCAUACCCCUAGACACUCCCCUUACGCUGCCCUACAAGAUUGCUCGGCAGUGGGUUCAAGGGGUCUUUGCUAGCUAACCACCAUGGCGGGUAGGUGAAAGACCCGUGCUAACACGGGGUUAGCUCGUUAAAAAAAAAAACAAUAAAGCCUCAUGCAGUUUACAUCAAGCUCUCGAAUCUGCCUGGUGAUUGGGGUGACCGAGGUCCUGGGCUGGGACCCCGGAGACCUGAGUUUUUCCGGGAGUCUAACAUUUGGGGGCUCGUCUGGGAUUUGCGACCACCCCUCAGCAGAGUGGAUUUGAUCUUGGAGGUAAGAUGAUUCAAGCUUGCAACUUAUAUGUUCAAUGUUAUGUUCAAUGUUCUGUAUGCCUGUUGCUGUUUUGUUGGUUUGGUGCCAUGACUUGAAUUUGAUCUGUACCUGCGCAGGACAUAUACUUUUAUUUACUUGCAUUUGGAAUUUGUAAUUUGGACCUCAGGGGGAAACAGACGUGUUGUUUAGACUCUGAAGUACGGCCCUGGACAAAAGUCCGAGGGUCGUUUGAUUUGGACCAUAGGGAAAGCAGACGUGCACAGAAACAGAAGUGUUUCUGGAACCCUUGGUUCUGCCCUGGACAAAAGUCCAAGGGUUGUUUGUAAUUUUGGUUUGGGGCACCAUUCCUCUGCCUCGAGGUUUGUCCUGUCUGAUGUCUGUCCUGUUUUUGCUGUUUGUGUCUGUCUCCGUACUAACCAUGCCCCCUCAGUCUGACUUUUGACCAUUGGAUGGACAUUAAGGACUAUAGUUAGUCAGUUAAAGUUCCGACACCCCCUUUCGUUGAGUCACAUGGCACCACAUUAGGUAACUUUCUUUUCCUGUCUUUGUUUCUGUAUGGUUUCUGUAUGCCUGGAGGGUUGGAACAGGCUGGGUGACUGAGCAGGUUUGUUAUCUGAUCUGUUGCAGUCCACGCCCUCACCGCCUGCUUGUGUGUCAGUUUUACUAUUUCUGUUAAUUUUGUGGAUGUGGAGGUCCUAUGUUGGAGUUUCUGGCGACAUCUGUGAGUAGGCCUACAAAAAUUGUUUAGGGCAGAGGUUCGGGCGGCAGCCUUCCGAAAUCUAUACGGGAGGCUUGGUUUCAGACCAAGUUGAUCUCCAUGGGGCUAGCCAUCUGAAAUUCCAAAUAGGACCCUAGUCUGUGUUAAACAUCUCUUUCUGUCCCUACUGCCCACACACAUGGCAUGCAUGGGUCAGGGGUCUUUUCUUGAUGCGGGGGGGGGUGUCUUUUUCCCACCCCUGCAUUGGCCGAGGGUCUGGGGUUACCAGCAGCACCCCCACCCCAGGUCUCUUCCCUGAGCAUGUGGAGCUCGGGCAGGUGAGCUAUCUCAUCUGAUUUGGAUGACAAAAAAAAAAAAAAAAAAAAAACACGGCCUUAAAGUUAUUAAAAACUAUGGAAAGGACUUCGAUAAAAAUUUUUAUGUUGACUGAGAAAUGAGAGAGAAUGUACUAAAGUGAAAGAAAAAAGGGAAAGAGAAAUUUGUCUAAGAAUAUCUAAGAAAAUCGGAGGAGUAAACAAACCAAGGGUAUAUAGAAAGUUAUAGAGGGUUAAAACAAGUCAUAGAAGGUCAGAGAAAAGAUUAUUAAAAGAGAAAAAUGUAAACUGUUAUGAUUUCUAAUUUACAAAUAAUAAAUUUUAAAAAAAUGGUAAUAUAAGUUAAAAUUUUAACCAUAUUAAGCUAAUUCUGUUUAAAAAGUCCUGUUUAUUUCUCAAGCGAUUUAUGUAUACUUGUUUUAAAAUAUUCUGUUUCCUGGCAUAACUAAGUUCUGUUACAAGCAUGUAGGUAAAACAAAUGGUGAGGUUCACUGCCAUUUUGUAGUCAGCCACGUGGCACAAAAUGACUGGUAGCCAUUUUGCUAAAGUUGAAAAAAGAUACUUAAACCGCCAUCUUGACUAAAGGUGACUGCAUGGAAAUUAGAGGUACCAUCUUAGAAACAAGUUUUUCAGUUAAGAUUUAAAAUGUUAAUGCUUCUACAUAUUACAGAAAGACAUUAAGGGAAUUUAAGUUUCUUUUAAAAACCAGUUUUUUAAAUGUUUAUUUUUUAAAUGUCUUUUUAUUAAUGUUUAUACUUAAAGAGCUUCAAUUUAGAAUCAUUUUUAAGCAAAGCCUGACAAUGUAAAGUUCUUGUCUUAUAAAAGAUGCUAAUCUACUAUAAGAUGUUACAGUUUUUGUUUUCAGAAGUUAAGUUUAGGGCAUUGGUGGCACAUGCCUUUAAUCCCAGCACUCGAGUAUGAGACCAGCCUGGACUACAAGAGCUAGUUGCAGGACAGCCUCCAAAGCCACAGAAAAACCCUGUCUCAGAAAGAAGUUAAGUUUAAACAAAGCAGCUAAAAUGUGUACAUGUAGCUACUGUUUAAGGACUAUAAGUUUAUAAUAUCAGACAGACUGCCAGAUCCUGACAGUGACACAAAGUCUCCAAAGAAGAUUAUGAGGCACUCCAGUUCCUGCACCUGGACCAGUGAGCGAGAUGCUCAGAUGUGAUACCUGCCACCUGCCAGGACCUGGCCGAGACUGUGGACAAAGCUGCUGGACACUGGAAAAUUGAUUGCACCCCUUUUGCCUAGACAAAACAAGACAUCGGAGUAUCAGUUGCUGACUACAGGCUGUUCUAAGUAGACUGCGAACCCUGGACUUGCUGUGGAUGUGAACCAGUCCAAUUGAUGUGGACAACCCCUGUCUCUGCAACAAAGUCUGCCAACAGCCACUGAUGGGUUUCCCAUUUCCCAAAUUCCUUUUUUUGCUUUUGACUAGCAUUUCAACCUUCUGGGGUCCCUAACUUCAUCCCAAAGUCAGCAGGAAGUAGCAUGAGAAAGAAUUCGCCACCCAUUUUCCCUGGUUAAAAUGCUAAGUCAGAAGGGACUCCCUUGCAUGGGGGCACUGGAGAGACAGCAAUUCCAUGAUUGGAAUUUCAAAAAAAAAAUGGGGGAAUGAAGGGACCAGGCCCCCAUUUUGGCAGCCAUGACAGUAACACGUGCUUGCUAUGACCUUGCCUUAGUCACUAGAGGUUAGGUGCCUGCUUCAUGACAAGGAACCAAUCAGAAGUUAGCUGGUGGCACUAUGCUUUACGACUCUGGGUGUGCUUUAUGGACAAGAGCACAGCAAUGAUGCGCAGAGCAUAGCAACCACCCUGGGAGGGCCUAUGGGCCAUUACAAUCAAUUGGCCAAUCAACACAGGGCAAGCCCUCCAAGCCUGGAGGCACACCAAUCCUGAGCCUGUGCGUACCCCUAGACACUCCCCUUACGCUGCCCUGCAAGAUCACUCCGCAGCCGGUUCAAGGGGUCUUUG
rnacentral:lncRNA from 1 species